rnacentral:snRNA from 1 species
AUCGCUUCUCGGCCUUUUGGCUCAGAUCAAGUGUAGUAUCUGUUCUUAUCAGUUUAAAUCUGAUACGUCCCCCAUCGGGGGACUACAUAUUAAAUGGAUUUUUCGAACAGGGAGUCGGAAAUGGGGCUUGCUCCGUCCGCUCCACGCAUCGACCCGGUAUUGCAGUACCUCCGGGAACGGUGCAACACUU